rnacentral:misc_RNA from 1 species
ACCAUGAGCGGUGUCACCACAUC